rnacentral:rRNA from 1 species
UAACGCGUAAGCAAUCUGCCUAUUAGAGGGGAAUAACAGUGAGAAAUCACUGCUAAUACCGCAUAUGCCAUGAACAUCGCAUGAUGAAAAUGGGAAAGGAGUAAUCCGCUAAUAGAUGAGCUUGCGUCUGAUUAACUAGUUGGUGUGGUAAUGGCAUACCAAGGUAACGAUCAGUAGCCGGACUGAGAGGUUGAACGGCCACAUUGGGACUGAGAUACGGCCCAGACUCCUACGGGAGGCAGCAGUCGGGAAUAUUGCGCAAUGGAGGAAACUCUGACGCAGUGACGCCGCGUAUAGGAUGAGGGUUUUCGGAUUGUAAACUAUUGUCAUUAGGGAAGAUAAAAGACAGUACCUAAGGAGGAAGCUCCGGCUAACUACGUGCCAGCAGCCGCGGUAAUACGUAGGGAGCAAGCGUUAUCCGGAUUUAUUGGGUGUAAAGGGUGCGUAGACGGGAGAUUAAGUUAGUUGUGAAAGCCCUUGGCUUAACUGAGGAAUUGCAACUAAAACUGGUUUUCUUGAGUGCAGGAGAGGUAAGUGGAAUUCCUAGUGUAGCGGUGAAAUGCGUAGAUAUUAGGAGGAACACCAGUGGCGAAGGCGACUUACUGGACUGUAACUGACGUUGAGGCACGAAAGUGUGGGGAGCAAACAGGAUUAGAUACCCUGGUAGUCCACACCGUAAACGAUGGAUACUAGGUGU